ACCAAUGUAUAAGUAUCUCUCUCUCUCUCUCUCUCUCUCUCUCUAUUUUACAUGGUGAAUUUACUGAGCUGAUUCACUCUGGCAUGGGUGGGUAAAAUGAUGAUGAGUAUGCUUCUUUGUUCCACCACAUAGAUCUGAAUCUGGCGUGCAACUCUUUUGCUCGCAGGAGAGGGUUCGGGGUCUGACUGCCCCCUGCUUUGGAGGGACAUCCUGCCGUCCCCGUCGGAGACAAGCCAUCAUUUCAAUACCUCCACAGCUGCUCCUCUUUGCCACCACUGCCACCAAUUUUUAUUGCGUCGGGGAAGGCAGGCAAAGCGGCUCGAUCAGAUGCCAAACGCCUUUGCUCUUCCUUUGCGUAACAGUCCAUGCACCACCCCCUGACAGCCAUCUCAUCUGCUGCCUGAUGCACGCUGUUGGGAGGAGCUUUUGCCGUGUGUUCUUCCGCUAGUUUAACCGUUGCUGUGCUUCUUGCGAAAAGGAAUCUAAGCCAUCGUUAAGCGAGGGGCAGCUUGUUGCGGUUUUCUUGCUUGCUCUCGGCCACAAGAAGCAGGUGAUGGGUUGCAAGAUAGAUCAGGUACUGAGUUGUAGUAGAUUCCUGUGUUGCUGUCAUCGAUGGCAUCUGCCUUGUGAGGCCAUUACGUGGUCCUACUUGUGCCUCUCGUCCUUUGAUUAUUUUAACUUCGUGGUCA